rnacentral:lncRNA from 1 species
UUUCGAUUCUCAAGUUUGUUUUCACAUCCAUUUUGCCUAAAACGGCUCCAAUUUAGUUCAACACUCCGCAGAUAUGCCGCCCAACAACUCACGUUACAACCUACUUAUUUGCCAAAGUCUAAUAUACUAUAUACUAUUAUAUGUAUCUGGUGUUGGUAUGUGUGGCUUGGUUGUUAGUCUUUUAUUACUUGCCAUAUGAUUUUACUAAUUAAACUUUAACCAGGUAUUGCUGAAUUUUACUUUAUUUCCUGUUGGUUUACAGUAUU